rnacentral:lncRNA from 1 species
UCCAGAUCUGUGGUCCUGAAUAAUGCAGAUUGAAUGGGUUGUUAAGAGGACUUUCUAGUUCCUGCUUUGCCUGGUUAUCAAGUACUGAAUUAUUUACCAUGGAAAAGAGAGAGCGAGCACGCGCUUGAGCACACGAGCAGGGGGAGCAGCAGGGGGAGAGAGAGAAACAGGCUCUCUGAUGAGCAGGGAAGUGGAUGCGGAGCUUGAUCCCAGGACCCUG